UCUUUCCAUUGUACCUUUCAUGCUUCCUAUGGGAAAUGUUUACAUUUCUCCAGGCUUGGGAAAGCAGUAUCACACAGUGGUUAGUGUUUGGAAACCACAACCUUCAGCACCAUCUCUUACCUCUCUAUGUCUAUGUCAGGCAGUAGUGACCUGUAGCUAAGACUAUGACUGCCUUAAGGAUGCUUUAAAGCCUCUGGCAAGAAGGUGCUCCAGCACUGCACAGGAUUUUUUUUUUUUUAAUACUACUAACUGUAUGAAGUCAACUGACAUGAAGUUCACUGGUAAUGUUUCAUAUUACCUUUGUUUUCUGCUAUAUAGUAGUUUGAUACUUAAGUAUCAGAAAUGAAGGGAGCAGUUUGAUUAUUCUGGCUUUCAGAAUGGCCCCAGUAAGAUAAGGAAGUACUCACAUAAGUUAAAAAUAACCAUAUGUGGGCAUUUCCUUCCAGUGGGCAUAUUUUUUUUGUCCUAUAGAGAACUAGGGAUUUUAUUUUUGAAGGAUAAAAGUAUCUCUUGUGUCUUAGGAUUGCAGUAUUUGGGAUUCUCCAUGUAGUGCCUUCCCAAAAGACUUAAAUAACUGUAUUUCUCUGUAGUUACUUUGAAGUCAUAGGGCGAACUCCGAGAAGAGCUAAUUUGAAAGUAUUGAUUGUAGGCAGUAUUGCACUGAAUUACAAAUACCACCACUACAUAUGGAAUAAAUACAGUAAUUUGUUCCGGGCUUUUGUUGUAGUCAGUAAAAAUGUGGCCAGCUGGUAAAUCUGGUCAGACAAGACCGCUGUUUCUAUAGCACUUUUCUGUAUUCAAAUGGAAGCAGAAGAAAAACUGUCCUACAAACAGCUAAUUUCUUUCUCAAGACAGUUCUUUUCUACUAAUCUCCUCUUGCCUUACCUUAUAAGGUAGCACUGAAGAAAAUGCUUGUCACUGGAGUUUUUAUUGGUGCAUAUGACUGUAUAGAAAACGCCUGAACUUGACUUGAAUAAGCGAUGGGAAACCUUGUUUUGUGUGGUGAUGUGGGAUGAACAGCAUAUAGCAAAUAGACAGUGUGACCAGAGAAUUGCCCUCAACAUAGCUGUAGAUACCUUGUCUUCCAAAGCAGCUGUAAAACUUUACUUGGGAAAGUUCUAUAUAUUUUAAUGCUACUGGAUACUAUUGCUGAUGUGUUUGAAUGCUAUCUGUGAACAGCAGUAGCAAAUACAUUAUUUGUUCUGUCAGCAAACAUUUAAUCAGGCUUUGUUUUCUCUAAAGAGAGAAAUAUUUAUCCAUUUGACAUUUCAUUUCCACAUUUUUCAAAUCACUUCAUGGGAAAACUUCUGCAAAGAACCAACACAAAGCUGUCAGAUCUUUGAUACAACCCCAAGUAGGGUUUCAGUGGAACCAAACAAUUCUUGUACCUUUAGAGCAUUUUGUAAAAAGAUGGCUGGUCCUCUUGUCUCAUAGCAAAUAAACUACAGAAGAAAGAACAUAGUUCAGUUAAUUAUUUACCUGAAUGUAUCCUCUUUGUUUGCUGUGAGCUCCUGAGUUUUGCUCAGCAUGAAGGUAUAGAUCUUGGGGCAGGGAUUUCUGUCUGAGCUUGGUUUACUGGAGCUCAUCUGGGCAGAGAGUCCCAUGGUGCUACUCCUUGUUUGCACGUACAAACAAAGUUCUGGUUUGGAUACCUGGGUGAGAAAAGGUGUUUGUCAUCUGCUCCAUGGGAACAGUACUGCUGAUUGCUAUAGUGGAAGGAACACACUGGAAAGGGAACAAGAGACACACAAACAAAUAAAGGGUUAUUUUUUCUUUUCCCGUAACAGCAUCAUUUUUUGAGUAUAAUGAUCACUCAUUUCCUGAGUUACAUAUAAGCUACUCUGGCACCAGGGCACAAUAAGCAGGUCAGCCCCCAGAUGAGUACUGCAAUUCUUUCACUUCCUUAUUACUCUAUAAGCAGAAUGGGUUCUGAUAUCAGCUCUGGUAUGCCUGUUUGUUUUCAUGCUUCUAUUUCUACAUCAUGGACCAGUUCCUAACAGUUUAAUGAGAAAACAUGAUUCUUGCUGCUGCAAACUGUGUGAGAAGUUCCUUCUUGCCCAGGAGCAGCCUCAGGCAUGUUAGUGUCUAGGAUAGGGAAGCCUGACGGGGAGGUUCUCUGGACAAUGGUGAACUUCAUUAUCUGUAAAUAUCCAUUUUGUAUUAACAUAUUUGUUUUAUUUUUUUAUUUGAAGUCCAUUUAUUUUCUGAAUGUAAUGUGCAGCUGCACCGUUUAAAACAACCCACGUUUUUAAGAAUGUAUGCUAAUAGUAACAAUUUAAUUUAACACUCAGUGUUUUGAUUUUUGUGAUUGAAAAGGA
ensembl:lncRNA